ACGGGAGGCAGCAGUGAGGAAUAUUGGUCAAUGGACGGAAGUCUGAACCAGCCAAGUCGCGUGCGGGAUGAAGGCCCUACGGGUCGUAAACCGCUUUUGUACGGGGAUAAAGUCACCCACGUGUGGGUGUUUGUAGGUACCGUAAGAAUAAGGAUCGGCUAACUCCGUGCCAGCAGCCGCGGUAAUACGGAGGAUCCGAGCGUUAUCCGGAUUUAUUGGGUUUAAAGGGUGCGCAGGCGGGCUGCUAAGUCUCCGGUGAAAUGUCAGGGCUCAACCUUGGCACUGCCGGAGAUACUGGCGGCCUUGAGAGUGGCGGAGGUAUCCGGAAUGUGUGGUGUAGCGGUGAAAUGCAUAGAUAUCACACAGAACACCGAUUGCGAAGGCAUCUCACGAAUCCGCGAUUGACGCUGAGGCACGAAAGUGUGGGGAUCAAACAGGAUUAGAUACCCUGGUA
rnacentral:rRNA from 1 species